rnacentral:rRNA from 1 species
AUUGAACGCUGGCGGCAUGCCUUACACAUGCAAGUCGAACGGUAACAGGUUAAGCUGACGAGUGGCGAACGGGUGAGUAAUGUAUCGGAACGUGCCCAGUCGUGGGGGAUAACGGCCGGAAGGAGAACCUAAUACGGAAUACGCCCUGAGGGUAAAAGCGGGGGCUGGAAAACCCUGGCGCAAUUGGAGCGGCGGAUAUCAGAUUAGGUAGUUGGUGAGGUAAGGGCCCACCAAGCCGACGAUCUGUAGCUGGUCUGAGAGGACGACCAGCCACACUGGGACUGAGACACGGCCCAGACUCCUACGGGAGGCAGCAGUGGGGAAUUUUGGACAAUGGGCGCAAGCCUGAUCCAGCCAUGCCGCGUGCGGGAAGAAGGCCUUCGGGUUGUAAACCGCUUUUGUCAGGGAAGAAAAGGUUCUGGCUAAUACCUGGGACUCAUGACGGUACCUGAAGAAUAAGCACCGGCUAACUACGUG